rnacentral:rRNA from 1 species
UACAGAGGGGGCGAGCGUUAUUCGGAAUUAUUGGGCGUAAAGGGCGCGUAGGCGGCUAGAUGUGUCAAAGGUGAAAUCCCUCGGCUCAACUGAGGAACUGCCUUUGAAACUGUCUGGCUUGAGGCCGGGAGAGGGUAGCGGAAUUCCCAGUGUAGCGGUGAAAUGCGUAGAUAUUGGGAGGAACACCAGUGGCGAAGGCGGCUACCUGGACCGGUUCUGACGCUGAGGCGCGAAAGCGUGGGUAGCAAACAGG